CCUACGGGGGGCAGCAGUGAGGAAUAUUGGUCAAUGGGCGCGAGCCUGAACCAGCCAAGUCGCGUGAAGGAUGACUGCCCUACGGGUUGUAAACUUCUUUUGUCAAGGGAUAAAGUGAGGCACGUGUGCCUUUUUGUAUGUACUUUAUGAAUAAGGAUCGGCUAACUCCGUUCCAGCAGCCGCGGUAAUACGGAGGAUUCGAGCGUUAUCCGGAUUUAUUGGGUUUAAAGGGAGCGUAGAUGGGUUGUUAAGUCAGUGGUUAAAGUUUGGGGCUCAACCUUAAAAGUGCAAUUGAUACUGGCAGUCUUGAGUACAGUUGAGGUAGGCGGAAUGCGCGGUGUAGCGGUGAAAUGCUUAGAUAUCACGCAGAACUCCGAUUGCGAAGGCAGCUUACUAAACUGCCACUGACACUGAUGCUCGAAAGUGUGGGUAUCAAACAGGAUUAGAUACCCGAGUAGUC
rnacentral:rRNA from 1 species